rnacentral:rRNA from 1 species
CCUACGGGAGGCAGCAGUAGGGAAUAUUGGACAAUGGGCGAAAGCCUGAUCCAGCCAUGCCGCGUGAGUGACGAAGGCCUUCGGGUUGUAAAGCUCUUUUGGCGGGGACGAUAAUGACGGUACCCGCAGAAUAAGCCCCGGCUAACUUCGUGCCAGCAGCCGCGGUAAUACGAAGGGGGCUAGCGUUGUUCGGAAUCACUGGGCGUAAAGCGCACGUAGGCGGACUUUCAAGUCAGGGGUGAAAUCCCGGAGCUCAACUUCGGAAUUGCCUCUGAUACUGUUGGUCUCGAGUCCGGAAGAGGUGGGUGGAAUUCCUAGUGUAGAGGUGAAAUUCGUAGAUAUUAGGAAGAACACCGGUGGCGAAGGCGGCCCACUGGUCCGGUACUGACGCUGAGGUGCGAAAGCGUGGGGAGCAAACAGGAUUAGAUACCCUUGUAGU